rnacentral:rRNA from 1 species
UACAGAGGUCCCCAAGCGUUGUUCGGAUUCACUGGGCGUAAAGGGUGCGUAGGCGGCCGGGUAAGUCUGGUGUGAAAGUUCGCAGCUCAACUGCGAAAAGUCAUUGGAUACUCUCCGGCUGGAGGAAUGGAGGGGGGACGUGGAAUACUUGGUGUAGCAGUGAAAUGCGUAGAUAUCUGGAGGAAUACCGAUGGCGAAGGCAGCCCCCUCGGCCUGAUACUGACACUGAGGUGCGAAAGCAUGGGGA